AGCGAACGCUGGCGGCAGGCCUAACACAUGCAAGUCGAACGAACUCUUCGGAGUUAGUGGCGGACGGGUGGGUAGCACGUGGGAACGUGCCUUUAGGUUCGGAAUAACUCAGGGAAACUUGUGCUAAUACCGAAUGUGCCCUUCGGGGGAAAGAUUUAUCACCUUUAGAGCGGCCCGCGUCUGAUUAGCUAGUUGGUAGUGUAAUGGACUACCAAGGCGACGAUCAGUAGCUGGUCUGAGAGGAUGAUCAGCCACAUUGGGACUGAGACACGGCCCAAACUCCUACGGGAGGCAGCAGUGGGGAAUCUUGCGCAAUGGGCGAAAGCCUGACGCAGCCAUGCCGCGUGAACGAUGAAGGUCUUAGGAUCGUAAAAUUCUUUCACCGGGGACGAUAAUGACGGUACCCGGAGAAGAAGCCCCGGCUAACUUCGUGCCAGCAGCCGCCGUAAAAC
rnacentral:rRNA from 1 species